rnacentral:rRNA from 1 species
CGCCCUUGUAAAGAAUCUUAUAUAUAAAGGGUCCUGCCUGCCCAGUGACUUAGUUAAACGGCCGCGGUAUCUUGACCGUGCAAAGGUAGCAUAAUCAUUUGCCUCUUAAAUGGGGGCUGGAAUGAAUGGCAAGACGGGAAUCAAGCUGUCUCUCUCUUAUAUUUUGAAGUUAAUAUUUUUGUGAAGAAGCAGAAAUAAAAUCGUAGGACGAGAAGACCCUAUCGAGCUUUAAUAGAAAGAAAAGUAUAGAUUUGUAAAUACUGUUUUAUUGCUAAUUAAAUAUUAAAAAUAAUUUAGUAGAUUUUACUAUAAAAACGGAAGAAUUGUUUACUUUAUAUUUAGGUUGGGGCAACCGCGGAGAAUAGAAAUCCUCCGCUAAUUUUAUUGAAAAAAAUAUUUUUUUUCAAUAUAAGAUUUAUAAAAAGUGAUCCACUCAAAAUAGUGAACAAAAGAACAAGUUACCGUAGGGAUAACAGCGUAAUUUUUUUGGAGAGUUCAUAUUGAUAAAAAAGUUUGCGACCUCGAUGUUGGAUCGGGAUUUCCUAGGGAUGCAGCAGUUCCUGAUGGUUGGUCUGUUCGACCAUUAA